rnacentral:rRNA from 1 species
GAUGAACGCUAGCGGCAGGCCUAACACAUGCAAGUCGUGGGGUAGCAGGAUAGCAAUAUCGCUGACGACCGGCGCACGGGUGAGUAAGGCAUAUGCAACCUUCCUCUGACUGGGGGAUAGCCCGGAGAAAUUCGGAUUAAUACCCCAUAACAUCAUGAGAGGGCAUCUUUUUAUGAUUAAAGCUCCGGCGGUUAAAGAUGGGCAUGCGUACCAUUAGCUAGUUGGUGAGGUAACGGCUCACCAAGGCUACGAUGGUUAGGGGGUCUGAGAGGAUGAUCCCCCA